CAGAAGAAGGACUGAGGUUGUUGUAGGUCCUGGGGGAAGUACAACCUUUGGCAGUCAUCAUCUUCCAAAUAGGGUGGGAUCUGGAGCUUAUGAACAAGUGGUGAUCAAACGCUAGAAGUCGAGCUGGUGCACCGAAGUUGCCCUGUGGAUUUAAGAUGUGGAUAAUUGAUGUAUCAAUGCAUUUUAUUCAAGCACUUUAAUAGAAAAGAAAAUGAACCUAUUUAAAAAAUGAAGUUCAUCUAACAAGAGGAAAGGCAAAGCUGAUUUCCUCUGUGGAAGUGCCCACCACCAUCCUUCCCCACCCGCCGAAAGGGAGCACCUGAGUGGCAGUUUCAAGGCACUGUGCGGUGUGUGCCUUGGAAGUCCAUGGCCUCAGGAGUUGCUGCACGGGUAACGAAAAGCCUUUUUCUUUCAAAACACUCCAGUGGGGUCAACAGCAUUAUACACCUCGGAGUAUAAUUUUAGUAUUCAAGUGUAAAGUCUGUGAUAAAGGUGCUCAACAGAUUGGGGCUAUAUGGGGUGUUUGUAAAUUUUAUGUUUGAGAGACAAUAAGGGAAUAUCAUUUAUAUCCUAUAAACCUAUAAAUUCUGUCAAGAUAAUUAUAAUUCCUGUUAAAGAAAUCUUCCGUAUUAUACUACCUACAGUAUUGUACCAAGUUGAUUAACUCUCUUUGAUAUAAUAAUUGAUAAAGUGUGGGUGUUCAUGCUUUGGGAAAAUGUUAGACUACAAUUUCAACAUGUAAAAUGCUUAAUAAUUGUAAAUGUAUCAGUCAUAAAUCAAAUGCUAAGUGCGUUUAAGUCUGAGAUACAUGAAUGGAUGUAAUGCCAUUAUUAUGCAAUAUAUCAAUGUAUAUUGUUACUUGUUAAUAUUAGAUGAGCUGCAGAGUCCCCAUUAGCACUACAUAAAGGAUUCAAAAUAAGUUUAAUAUUCAAUAUGUUAGGCUACUUUAAGGCACUCUUACAGAAGAGCUGUUUUAACUCACUGAAUAUUAUUAGAUCUGCUGGUUUUAGGGGUCAAAAAGUUUAGAACAAGAGGAAAAUUGUGAUAUGAUCAGAAACAGAGAAGCCUUUUCUAUGUAAAUUCAGACUUAUCUGAAACUAAAAAUUAUUCCAGAGAGGUAGUGAGUAUCAGACAGGACAGCUGCUCCACACAACACCUCUAAGGCAGACAGUGGUUUUCUAUUUUAGCACCCCAUGAUCAGAUACUGUGUUCUCUUCUUUAUCAGAAGGUAGUUGUUUUAAGGCAAAAAUAGAAUAUAACAUACAUAAAAUAUAGCUUUUAAAAUAAGAAUAUCUAUUCUGGAUCCAGUUUAACAGCACAGCAGAUAAAAAACCUUAGAGUUUUCCUGGUCUUACAUGACAAUUGCCAUGUGGAAAGAUCUAAACUUUCUAGGAAUCACUCAGUCAAUGAAGAAAAAUGUAGAUUCUGUAGAACCAGCAAUUCCCCAAUUCUUUCUUUCAAAAUCAUCUCCAAAAAAGAUAAUAUGUCAGAAUAGAAUUACUUUGAUCUAGGAAUUUUCACAUUGGCAAAAUAGGGGAGAAAUUAUUUUAAUAUCCAAAUUUAGAGGUAUAGAAAAAUUUGAAUAGUUAACGUUAGAACAUUUGUUUAUUUUUUAAAAUAUUUCAGAGACUCUACGUUAAUCCUAUUUUAACAAAUAGAUUCUUAAAAUUUUUUAAAGAUUACACUAUUUUAUAAUAUUUUGAAUAUCGAGAGGGUUUUCUGAGUUAUUAGAUACUUUUUAUUUUUUAAGAUUUAUUUUUAAGAAAAAAGCAUUGAUCUGAACAUUUUGGUGUAACCAAGGAAAAUGUUAUCACAAGUGGUAAAGAUUUGCUGUCUAUCUUCAUAUGAACUGAUCCAUUCAUUAUAUAUUAUGGAAAAAAAUCAAAGAAAGGUUUUUAUAGAGAUAGGAAGAUACUGUUUAGAGAGAUAUUUAUUAUGACUUUUUUUAAAAUAUAUUUUUCUAUCUUCAAAAUAUUAUUUCUAGGCUAUAUUUUUUAUUGUCACUUCUGCAAAUGAUUUGCAGUUUUGGAAACGAUUAAAUUAGAUUGUGAGUGGGGUUCAGCAAGGACAUUCAUCAGACAUAUAAGAGGUGCUGUAAUCAGAGCAGUACCCUCCCUGUCUUACUCAUCCUUAGCUGUCCUUGGCCCUAUACCUUUAUAUAAGACUGGUUCUCGAUAUUUAAAAUGGUACAGAAUUUUUUUUUUAAUGUGGAGAGAUUUUGAAAUGCAUAAAAAUCAUGCCUUUAUAAUUUUAGCAGCCACCAAACACAUCUUGAUUUAUGUACUAGUAAAUAUAGCAAAUAUUUUAAUAAAUAGAAACAUUGAUUAGGAAGAAGAAAGCACUCAUAGCUAUAUCCUUUGUAGUCAGUGAAAGUCUGGGUUCAUUUUAUUCUAUUUUGUGUUCCAUUGGCACACUUUGCAUUCAAAUUUCAGUACAGUCCUUUCAAAAUAUUUGUUAAUGGUUUCGUAAGUGUCUGCCUGCCUUUCUAGUGCUUAGAACAUACAUUGUUAACAUCUUAACCACAUAGCUAUUGAAAAAAUCUACUUAUUAAAUAAAAUCCACUUUUGAUUCUGAGUUUAGACAAUUGGAUUUGAAAAAUUAGAUUCUCAAGACAUUGAUUUUUAAACAUUAACAUCAAAUUUCAAAUCAACCAGUCUUAGCAAAUUUGUAGAUGUAUAUAAUACUUUUUCUAAUUCUAUCCUAGAGAAAAAGACUCAUGGUGUUUUAAAACUCUGUAUUUGUAAUGAGAUAAGAAAUAGUCUUAAAUACCUUGUUUGGGAGAAUGCACAGGCUAGUCCGGAGACCACUGCCUGUGGGCUGAGCUGGUGAUUGAGACCAGACAGGAUGUGAAGGGGACUGAUGGCAGAGAAGGCUUGGCCAUCAGUUCACGCUUGAAUGGUUGACUCCUGGUGAUUUUGAAAGCUUCUUUUUACAAAUAACUAAUGUGGAUUAGUACUUAUGAUCUGAGCAAGUCUUAACCAAUAAUCCUAAACUCCAGCAUCCCAUUCCAGCAUAAUAAUAUCUAGACUAGAUUAAUAAUCCAGAAUAAUAUCCAGACUAGAUUCUUUUAUAUAUGUUUUUUUGUACAAAACUAUAAGCCACAGAGGUUGACCACUUAGCCCAUUUGCUUGCUAAAAGAGGGAAAAAAAAAUCUUCAACUAACCUCCAGUCAAAACAUAUUCA